AGGAGAUGAACACGUUAUGUAGAGAGAGAAAGCAGGAGAAGAAGAGAAGCGAAAUUUGAGGCGGACUCGACGAGGUGAUCCCUCCCGGACCUCACGUAAUACCCCUCUCUCUCUCUCUCUGAUCAUCCUCCCUCUCUCUCUGAUCAACCUCUCUCCCUCCCUCCCUCCCUCUCUCUCUCUCUCUGUGGCUCGGAAAGACAAUAUGAGCAAAGCAAAGAAAAUCAGUCAACUCACGCUCACUGGACGAUCCCACCAUCAAAUCUUAAACCCUAGGCUAGCAGAAAUCGCAUAAGUGUUAAUUUUUUUAGGUUGGCAGUUAGCGGAUUGGAGAUAGAAAGAGGGCGGUGGAGGUGGCAAUCGGUGGUGGUGGUGGUUUUGUUGGCCGAAGACAACCAAAACCAAAUCUGUGCGAUGGAAGAAGACAAAGAGGAACAGGGGUCCACUAAUUUCAUCGGAUCUUGUCCAGAAAUCAAGGGUCAAAGGUUUUAGCUGCCACUCAAACACCAGGAGAAGGAGAAGUAGGAAAGAAGUGGUUCUAAGGAGCAGCAGAUUAUAAUUUACGUGUAUAAAUGAGGAUGCCAAGAAGAAGAACGUGGAGCACAUACUAAUUUUGUCCGGUGAUCAUCUCUAUCGGAUGGAUUACAUGGACUUUGUGCAGAAGCAUGUCAACUUACAAGCUGAUAUCAUGGUUUCAUGUGUCCCCGACUCCCCAUGGAUGAUAGUUAUUACUCGAAGGUUGUCGCCAUUCUUCCAAAGACAUGAGUAGGACCAUUUGGAUUAUGCUGAGGCCUAAAUUGUGCAUUCAAUACACAAGUACCACGAAGCUGCCAUAAUUGAAAUUUACUUUCUGCCAAAACUUGUGAGGCAUGAUAUUGGUGGUACACGAUAGAGAUCUGCUUUCUAUAUGUUCUCUCUGUUUGCUGUUUUAGUUUGAAGUAUUGUGUACAUGUUUCAUAUUUUGCUGUUGUGUUUAAAUACAGCAUUGGAUUGACUUGUAGUGUAAGUAUUUAUUGGUACUUGUGGUUGGAUUAUUUAAAGGGCAUCCAUAUUUUAUCAUA